rnacentral:lncRNA from 1 species
CAAUACUCGUAGUACUAUGACUGUUCACGUUACAAUGUUACUUCAUCUAAGUGUGUGAUCAAUGCUAAGGAGGCUGAAUGACUUCGAGGCUUCAACCCAAUAACAUUUGGCGGAGUCCACCACCAUGGAAAACGAUACCACAGGACCAGAUCAAUCCAAGCCAAGGCAUCUUUGAUUUGAUGACGUACGUGCAUCGUAACAUUACAUUACAUGGCAUUGCUAUUACUUUAUUUUGAAGUUUGCUUUCAUUAUAAAAAAAAAAUUUCACUUUUUUUUUCUCAUGAUUUCACAGUGCUAAAAAGGUGUAAUAGAUGAACCCUAAAAACUUAGCCAUCAAUCCAAAUCUAUAAAGGAUAUAAAGAGAGCCAUCGAUUGAGCAUUGCAAGACAUUGUUCAGGGUUAUAUUCCGGAGCCGUAUG